CCCUUAGAUGUUCGGGGCCGCACGCGCGCUACACUGAAGGACUCAGCGUGUCUCUCCCCCUAUCCCGAAAGGGAUGGGCAACCCGUUGAACCUCCUUCGUGCUAGGGAUUGGGGUUUGCAAUUAUCCCCCAUGAACGAGGAAUUCCCAGUAAGCGCGAGUCAUCAGCUCGCGUUGAAUACGUCCCUGCCCUUUGUACACACCGCCCGUCGCUCCUACCGAUCGAAGAGUUAGGUGAAUUGUUUUGAUCGAUAAGAUUUGACUAUGGUCAACUCUCGUUGUGAAAUUCUGUGAAUCUGACUGUUUAGAGGAAGGAAAAGUCGUAACA
rnacentral:rRNA from 1 species